GGAGCUUGCUCCACCGAAAGAAAAAGAGUGGCGAACGGGUGAGUAACACGUGGGUAACCUGCCCAUCAGAAGGGGAUAACACUUGGAAACAGGUGCUAAUACCGUAUAACACUAUUUUCCGCAUGGAAGAAAGUUGAAAGGCGCUUUUGCGUCACUGAUGGAUGGACCCGCGGUGCAUUAGCUAGUUGGUGAGGUAACGGCUCACCAAGGCCACGAUGCAUAGCCGACCUGAGAGGGUGAUCGGCCACACUGGGACUGAGACACGGCCCAGACUCCUACGGGAGGCAGCAGUAGGGAAUCUUCGGCAAUGGACGAAAGUCUGACCGAGCAACGCCGCGUGAGUGAAGAAGGUUUUCGGAUCGUAAAACUCUGUUGUUAGAGAAGAACAAGGAUGAGAGUAGAACGUUCAUCCCUUGACGGUAUCUAACCAGAAAGCCACGGCUAACUACGUGCCAGCAGCCGCGGUAAUACGUAGGUGGCAAGCGUUGUCCGGAUUUAUUGGGCGUAAAGCGAGCGCAGGCGGUUUCUUAAGUCUGAUGUGAAAGCCCCCGGCUCAACCGGGGAGGGUCAUUGGAAACUGGGAGACUUGAGUGCAGAAGAGGAGAGUGGAAUUCCAUGUGUAGCGGUGAAAUGCGUAGAUAUAUGGAGGAACACCAGUGGCGAAGGCGGCUCUCUGGUCUGUAACUGACGCUGAGGCUCGAAAGCGUGGGGAGCGAACAGGAUUAGAUACCCUGGUAGUCCACGCCGUAAACGAUGAGUGCUAAGUGUUGGAGGGUUUCCGCCCUUCAGUGCUGCAGCAAACGCAUUAAGCACUCCGCCUGGGGAGUACGACCGCAAGGUUGAAACUCAAAGGAAUUGACGGGGGCCCGCACAAGCGGUGGAGCAUGUGGUUUAAUUCGAAGCAACGCGAAGAACCUUACCAGGUCUUGACAUCCUUUGACCACUCUAGAGAUAGAGCUUCCCCUUCGGGGGCAAAGUGACAGGUGGUGCAUGGUUGUCGUCAGCUCGUGUC
rnacentral:rRNA from 1 species